CCUACGGGAGGCUGCAGUGAGGAAUAUUGGUCAAUGGCCGGAAGGCUGAACCAGCCAUGCCGCGUGAAGGUCAGUGCCCUAUGGGCGUUAAACUUCUUUUGUGCGGGAGCAAUAAUGGUCACGUGUGGCCAGACGAGAGUACCGUACGAAUAAGCAUCGGCUAACUCCGUGCCAGCAGCCGCGGUAAUACGGGGGAUGCAAGCGUUAUCCGGAUUUAUUGGGUUUAAAGGGUGCGUAGGCGGGAUGCCAAGUCAGCGGUAAAAAUGCGGUGCUCAACGCCGUCGAGCCGUUGAAACUGGCGUUCUUGAGUGGGCGAGAAGUAUGCGGAAUGCGUGGUGUAGCGGUGAAAUGCAUAGAUAUCACGCAGAACUCCGAUUGCGAAGGCAGCAUACCGGCGCCCUACUGACGCUGAGGCACGAAAGCGUGGGUAUCGAACAGGAUUAGAUACCCUUGUAGUC
rnacentral:rRNA from 1 species